rnacentral:rRNA from 1 species
GAUGAACGCUGGCGGCGUGCCUAAUACAUGCAAGUCGAGCGAACAGACGAGGAGCUUGCUCCUCUGACGUUAGCGGCGGACGGGUGAGUAACACGUGGAUAACCUACCUAUAAGACUGGGAUAACUUCGGGAAACCGGAGCUAAUACCGGAUAAUAUAUUGAACCGCAUGGUUCAAUAGUUCAAGACGGUUUUGCUGUCACUUAUAGAUGGAUCCGCGCCGCAUUAUCUAGUUGGUAAGGUAACGGCUUACCAAGGCGACGAUGCGGAGCCGACCUGAGAGGGUGAUAGGGCAAAAUGGAAAUGGAAAAAGGUCCAGAAACCUAAGGGAGGCAGGAGGAGGGAAACAUCCGAAAUGGGCGAAAGCCUGACGGAGCAACGCCGCGGGAGUGAUGAAGGUCUUCGGAUCGUAAAACUCUGUUAUUAGGGAAGAACAAAUGUGUAAGUAACUAUGCACGUCUUGACGGUACCUAAUCAGAAAGCCACGGCUAAAUACGUG